rnacentral:rRNA from 1 species
UAAUUUGAGAGUUUGAUCCUGGCUCAGGACGAACGCUGGCGGCGUGCCUAAUACAUGCAAGUCGAACGAACUCUGGUAUUGAUUGGUGCUUGCAUCAUGAUUUACAUUUGAGUGAGUGGCGAACUGGUGAGUAACACGUGGGAAACCUGCCCAGAAGCGGGGGAUAACACCUGGAAACAGAUGCUAAUACCGCAUAACAACUUGGACCGCAUGGUCCGAGCUUGAAAGAUGGCUCUGGCUAUCACUUUUGGAUGGUCCCGCGGCGUAUUAGCUAGAUGGUGGGGUAACGGCUCACCAUGGCAAUGAUACGUAGCCGACCUGAGAGGGUAAUCGGCCACAUUGGGACUGAGACACGGCCCAAACUCCUACGGGAGGCAGCAGUAGGGAAUCUUCCACAAUGGACGAAAGUCUGAUGGAGCAACGCCGCGUGAGUGAAGAAGGGUUUCGGCUCGUAAAACUCUGUUGUUAAAGAAGAACAUAUCUGAGAGUAACUGUUCAGGUAUUGACGGUAUUUAACCAGAAAGCCACGGCUAACUACGUGCCAGCAGCCGCGGUAAUACGUAGGUGGCAAGCGUUGUCCGGAUUUAUUGGGCGUAAAGCGAGCGCAGGCGGUUUUUUAAGUCUGAUGUGAAAGCCUUCGACUCAACCGAAGAAGUGCAUCGGAAACUGGGAAACUUGAGUGCAGAAGAGGACAGUGGAACUCCAUGUGUAGCGGUGAAAUGCGUAGAUAUAUGGAAGAACACCAGUGGCGAAGGCGGCUGUCUGGUCUGUAACUGACGCUGAGGCUCGAAAGUAUGGGUAGCAAACAGGAUUAGAUACCCUGGUAGUCCAUACCGUAAACGAUGAAUGCUAAGUGUUGGAGGGUUUCCGCCCUUCAGUGCUGCAGCUAACGCAUUAAGCAUUCCGCCUGGGGAGUACGGCCGCAAGGCUGAAACUCAAAGGAAUUGACGGGGGCCCGCACAAGCGGUGGAGCAUGUGGUUUAAUUCGAAGCUACGCGAAGAACCUUACCAGGUCUUGACAUACUAUGCAAAUCUAAGAGAUUAGACGUUCCCUUCGGGGACAUGGAUACAGGUGGUGCAUGGUUGUCGUCAGCUCGUGUCGUGAGAUGUUGGGUUAAGUCCCGCAACGAGCGCAACCCUUAUUAUCAGUUGCCAGCAUUAAGUUGGGCACUCUGGUGAGACUGCCGGUGACAAACCGGAGGAAGGUGGGGAUGACGUCAAAUCAUCAUGCCCCUUAUGACCUGGGCUACACACGUGCUACAAUGGAUGGUACAACGAGUUGCGAACUCGCGAGAGUAAGCUAAUCUCUUAAAGCCAUUCUCAGUUCGGAUUGUAGGCUGCAACUCGCCUACAUGAAGUCGGAAUCGCUAGUAAUCGCGGAUCAGCAUGCCGCGGUGAAUACGUUCCCGGGCCUUGUACACACCGCCCGUCACACCAUGAGAGUUUGUAACACCCAAAGUCGGUGGGGUAACCUUUUAGGAACCAGCCGCCUAAGGUGGGACAGAUGAUUAGGGUGAAGUCGUAACAAGGUAGCCGUAGGAGAACCUGCGGCUGGAUCACCUCCUUU